rfam:Apaloderma vittatum contig13143, whole genome shotgun sequence.
UAGCUCAGUCGGUUAGAGCGUGGUGCUGAGAACACCAAGGUCAUGGGUUCGAUCCCCGU